AGGGUCCUUUACCGUCAAGAGAUAGCGGCACCGUCGAUUUUCAGGGGGGAACCGUUCUGAUGAGGAUAUUUUUGAAAAUAUAGCGAAUAUUAUAAAAAAUCGACGGAAUACGCGUAGAUAAUUUUUUUCUUGAAUGGUUGACGUAUAAAUCAUUGAAAUCCGUGAUGUUUAGCGAGCGAAAUUAUGCAGACCGUUUUCGGACACUUGCAAAACGGCAACGCUGCCGUCUUGGUGAUAUGUUUACACUCCGGUUCCAACCUACAAUACAAACAUGUAUUUUUGAUAGUCCACAAAAUUUUAACUUGAUUAAUUACAAUUGUGUCGUGGAAGUAGUCUUAGAUUGUUAAUUUAUCGAAAAUAAGUUAUUAUGCUACAGUUCUUUUCCUGGUGGCUCAGUUCAGUCUGGUUCAGUCCACGUUUUGACCAUUCGGUACCUCUAUUGUCACCGUGCAACCUGUCCAUCAGUUGGCAUAAUGAAGAAAAUAUGUUUUGAGGUAAGUUGAUAUCUGCUUUUCCACCUAAAACUUGGCUCAUGGUUACAUAAUUCCACAUACUCUGAUAACAUUUCAGUUGGAAUCUCUAAGGACGAACGAGUUAUACCAUUGACAUUGCCCCUAAAUCUGGAAGUUGAAUUCCAUCGAUCGAAGCUGCUGUUUUGACCUGAACACACGUCUAUUUUUGUUGCCAUGUGUUUAUGUUACUGUUUUUUUUACACAAAUUAGAAUUCACACUUAACCCUGUACUAAAAAAUACAGUGUAGGGUGAAUAAUUCAUGAUCUUAAUCCAAACAAGGAAAUCAUCCGUUGAUGAGAUGAACCCUUCUGGCAGUGCUUAUCUGGAGAGUAAAGCAUAACGCCUGAGGCUCAAAGGGCUUGAGGGUGUUGGACAGUAAACCCCGUAGUAUCCAUGAAACUGCAAUUUCAUGGUUAAACUCCCAGAGCACGUUUCUCUGUUUGCGACGUAGCAGACUUCCUGUCAUACUUUAUUUCUUAACUGGAAAACUAUUCAGUGUCACUUCUUGAAAAUUUCUGUGACUUUUCUCUUCUGCGCAAAGAAAAUUCUGUGAAAACCUCAAAGAAUGACAUUGAUUUUUUCUCCUCAUUAAAAAUAAAGUGGGAGCAGAGAUUUUUAAACACUGCAAACGAGAUAGGUGCUUUGGGAGUUUCAUCGUCGAAAUGUUCCUAUCCAGACUAGAACUGUCAUGUGACAAAGCACUAUCAGCAUCUAGCACCUGCACCUUUCGUAAUCUGUUUCUGUGCUACUAGCAAUUGACCCAUCGUACUUUUCUCACAACUGAGGUUCUGCAUGUACGAAAGAAUUUCCAGUAAAGAUUGAAGAGAAAUUAUGUGCCUGUGAGGCGUGCCUGUGGCUCUUGGUUCCUAAAUUAUUUAUUAGUACCUAGGCAUUGUUGAUUGCCGCAUAACCUAAGCAUGACCAAUUAUCACCUUGGAAGAGCAUUUCAUCAAAUUGAGCUUAGGGACCAAGAUAUGAAAAUAAGAGCACCAAGGGCUCAGGCAAGCCAGUUUAGUUUCUCAGAUUUCGUUCUUACUUGUUGUGCUGGGUCAUUAUCGCUCAAACAAACUGGAGCGUAUUAAACGGUAUGUUUGUUUCUUCCAAGGGAACAAUUAUUGAGAAAAAUCAUGUAACAUUGCAAGAACCUACAUUUUGGGAGCUUGUCAGAUCCAAUCUCAAAUAAAUAUGUGUUAAUAAAUUAAAGAUUUCAAUUGUUGUGUUCGAUCAGAGCAGGAAAACAAAGAAGAUAAUAAAAGUAUGAUUUCAGAUGUCUAUUUUUCCUCACUUUAAAAAUUUGCUGGAAUGAGGUAGUUACAAAUAAAUGGUUGGCGACUAGGUUUAGCUAAAUGUCCCUCUGUGCCUGUUUUCCACAUAAGACGGGGCAAAAACUAUAUUUUUCAGUUUCAAGAGAGCUCUUCAAAAAUUCUAAUUCUAACGAUAAAAUCUCCUGCAUCAACAAUGGAGAAGUUACACAGAUCUAUAUGUAUAUUUGAAGAUAGAAAACUGCAAUUUUAUGAAAUUUCAUUCUAGAUGAACAGCCUGAAAUCUAGGGAAUUUUUUUUUCAACAGAUAAAAUUUGUACAUCAAGUGUAAAUAGAAUCUGAGAGCUGAGGGGUCACCACCUCUUUGAAUUGACCCAUUAUACAAUUCAAAUGCAUGGGAUACAGGAUAAUGCUGUUUAAUUGUCUGUUUUCAGUUUUUUGGAGCGCUUCCUACACCUCAGCCUGCUCCUCUUUAUUCUGGAUUCAGAAAGUGGCUACUAUCCUAUGACAUGGCUGUCAGUUUCUCAUUUGAGCAGUCAAGCGAUAGGAAAUUAGCAGCAACUAAAAAUCAUCUGGUUUUGAGAACUUCACCAUGAGUCACCUCAAAACAAAAUCAUCACAAGAAGUUGUAGUGUGUUCAGAGUAAAUAAACAUAUACCUAGUUCUCCUAAAUUUUUCAUCUGUGACCAGAAAUUAUCUAAGAAAUUUAAAGUGGCGUGAAGUUCGAAUAGCCACCCCUUACAUUCAUUCCUCUAAUUCUAAAUGAGAAAAUAAAUGAAAGUGAAAGUGCUGUGUUUAAAGUAUCCUAAGUACCUUCAUUGGUGUUUUUUGCGCUCCUUUUAAAGUUGAGGAAAAAUUAUGUGUUUCUAAAGCUUUUAUUAAUGGCUGUUUACUUGAAAACUAUGUUAAAUGUGGUUUUAGCCCCCCCCCCUCCCCCCCUCGGCCACCAUUUAUCUGCAGAAUAUUAACAAUCUCUAGAAAUUAAACUAUAAUUAUGAUGCUAUUUCUUCACUGUCUUCUUUUUUUUCCCCCUUUAGAGUUAUGUUUAAUUUAGGUGGAAAUGAUGCCAAUGAUAUUGAUCAAGUGUUACCUUCUUUGUGACAAUUUAUAUUGUUCCUUUUUUUCUUUCUUAUUCUUAUUCUAAUAUGUUUCUAGUUUCACUGUUACCAAUACCAAGUUAAGAUAAAGAGCAUUAACUCGCUGUGAUCAUUGUUUCUUUUUAAAUUGACAUAGCAUUAAUGCUUGUUUAUGGCUAUUAAGUUGAAAACCAUGUUUAUUUCGGUAAUGCUCCCCUUCCCCUCCACUUUUUCACUGGAAACGGAACUGACGUCAUUUCUGCUCUUAAUUUUCUUUUUUAAAGUAUUUUUGGAGGUAACCAUCUAGUAUUCAUCAAGUAUUUUCUCUUCCAAGUAAUAUUUUAAUAAUGAGUACUGAGUUUAAUAUCUAAAACACUGUUCAAUGAUGUAAGCCUUCAUUUUCUUUGAUACACAUCUUCUGUUUACGUUCUAAAUUUUAUGCUUUAUUAUUUUAGUGUUUCAUUAGUUAUACCUUUCUGUAAUUUUAUAAAAAAACUAACUUUCAAUUUGUUUCCCAUGAUAACACUGUGUCAUGGAAACUUUUUAUUCAAUUCUCAUGCUUUUAAGGAAAAAGGCAUAAUUAGAAAAUAUGUUUAUCAUUGAAUUACGAUCUAGACCUUCAACCAUCUUUUGCAGAAUUUGCUCUAAAGUAAUUUGAUUAGAUUAGAUAGGAGCAAUGACACUGUACUUUUUCGACGAGUGAUUGUAAAUAAAUUUCAGUGAUUAUUUCAACCACCUCUUGCUCAAUUGUUUCCACCAGGCGUUGAAUGUGUUUUGCCGCAUGCAUUGCUGGUUUUGGCUAGAAAUCAUGCAUAACCUGGCUAUUUCUGGAAGCAUUCAAAUUCAUCUCAACCAUUUUCUUGUAGCCGAUGCAGUCUCAACCACGGCUAUAUAUGUUGUGACCUCACCACCUCCAGGCACUCCGCUCCCGUCAACCACAAGGACCACAUUACUCGUCCAGCGGACAUCAUGCAGCCGGCCGGCUUGCCCCAUUCCAUCGGCCCUGUUUAGGGCCACUACUCUAGAGCACCUCCUCUGGUCUUUGGCCGUAGACGCAUUGGAAACGUUUUAAAGACGAGAAGGGAAGAAUAAAAAGUAUAAACUGUUGAAAAUCCGUGGGCAGCACGCAAGUACCCUUCACAAAAACUGUUAUAACUUCGUCAAUUUUUGUCCGAAUGGAGUGAUAUUGAUUUUAAUCAAUAGAAGAUGAUUAGAUCUCUAAAAUGAGACCAAGAACACA